UGGGGAAUAUUGCACAAUGGAGGGAACUCUGAUGCAGCGACGCCGCGUGAGUGAUGAAGGAAUUCGUUUCGUAAAACUCUGUUCUAUGGGAAGAAAAGGACUGUACCAUAGGAGAAAGCUCCGGCUAAAUACGUGCCAGCAGCCGCGGUAAUACGUAUGGAGCGAGCGUUGUCCGGAAUUAUUGGGCGUAAAGGGUGCGCAGGCGGCUUUACAAGUUGGAUGUGAAAUAUUGUGGCUCAACCACAAACGUGCAUCCAAAACUGCAAAGCUUGAGUUAAGGAGAGGUAAGUGGAAUUCCUGUUGUAGCGGUGGAAUGCGUAGAUAUCAGGAGGAAUACCGGUGGCGAAGGCGACUUACUGGACUUAAACUGACGCUCAGGCACGAAAGCGUGGGGAGCAAACAGG
rnacentral:rRNA from 1 species